rnacentral:lncRNA from 1 species
GGUGCUGUAUUCUGCCGCCCAUUUUACCCGCGGGGAAGCUGAGGCCCAGUGCUGUUUAAUAUCUUACUCAUGUUCACUUGAUGAGAAAGUGACAGAUCUGAGACAAACCCAGAUCGACAGAAAAGAAAUGAGUCAACGAUGGUGCAGAAAGGGACCAGCUUGACGAAGCUUCUGCUUUUGUGACUGUCUCCUAAUGCAGAAACCAGAGCACCUCAGAAGAUCAAGGCUUCCAAAUUCUCCUGGGGGAACAGACGUCAGCCAUUCAGCACAAAGGAAACUUCCUUCUCUGUAUGUCAGAGGAAGACAUAAUUGUGCCAUUUCCUUCUUGAAGAAGUUUACAAACAUUUGCAAGUUGUCAAAAAUAAUUAGUCUAAAAUUGUUUCAUAAACCGUGGAAUGAAACAGGACGUGCCUUGUUGAGAUCAAAGGGCUUCUGUUACCUUCUUGUAAACUCAAAUGAAAUUCUUUUGAAAGUAAA